AAAGGCUGUUUGACCACAUUUGUGGCACAUUGUCUCAACCUACCCUGGUUGAGGACGUUGUUAACCGUUCAUUCAGAGAGCAGCUGAUCAAAAUUCAGGAUGCAAACACAGUCGUGGAGGCAAACGAAGCCAUUAUGCAGGCAGCAGAUACCCUGAGCAUUGUUGGAGCAUUAAGGCCUGUAACUACUCUGGAAGAGAGGGACUCCCUUGUGCAAUCUGCUGCAGACUUCUUUGGAAAUGGCCGAGUGUGCACUGCAUUGCAACAGAUUGUGGAAGGUUUGAAGACUCUCAAUGUGCUAGAUGAGAUUCAGAAAAACCCUGCAGUCUUUCAUGAAUUGUUUGUGAGGAGAAACCACUUUCAGCACGAGACCUGUGCACACUUUUCCAAGUGUGUUUUUCUGUGCAAGGCAGCAAUAAAAGGAGGAUAGAAAAUCAAACCAUAUGCUACUGGAGAGACUGGUUGGUGGAUAUUGAAGAAGGAGAAUGCAGUCCCGUUACCCUUGAAAUGAUACUGGAGUUCGCUUCCGGAGCAUCCACGGUGCCUCCACUGGGCUUUCCCCAUCGUCCUCAAAUUGAAUUUCUCCAUGAGGCUAACAAAGUCUUCCCAGAAGCAAAUACUUGCCUUAUAAUGCUCCGCCUUCCUGUACACUCAGACUAUGAGUCUUUCACAAAGUACAUGAAAGAGGGGGUGCUGCACUCACCUACCUUUGGUGUUGCAUAAUAAGCCAAUAAGUGUAAUAAGCAGUUCUUU